rnacentral:rRNA from 1 species
CCUACGGGAGGCAGCAGUGGGGAAUUUUGGACAAUGGGCGCAAGCCUGAUCCAGCAAUGCCGCGUGCAGGAUGAAGGCCUUCGGGUUGUAAACUGCUUUUGUACGGAACGAAACGGUCUGCUUUAAUACAGUGGGCUAAUGACGGUACCGUAAGAAUAAGCACCGGCUAACUACGUGCCAGCAGCCGCGGUAAUACGUAGGGUGCGAGCGUUAAUCGGAAUUACUGGGCGUAAAGCGUGCGCAGGCGGUUAUAUAAGACAGAUGUGAAAUCCCCGGGCUCAACCUGGGACCUGCAUUUGUGACUGUAUAGCUAGAGUACGGUAGAGGGGGAUGGAAUUCCGCGUGUAGCAGUGAAAUGCGUAGAUAUGCGGAGGAACACCGAUGGCGAAGGCAAUCCCCUGGACCUGUACUGACGCUCAUGCACGAAAGCGUGGGGAGCAAACAGGAUUAGAUACCCUGGUAGUCCACGCCCUAAACGAUGUCAACUGGUUGUUGGGUCUUCACUGACUCAGUAACGAAGCUAACGCGUGAAGUUGACCGCCUGGGGGUAAGGUACGGCCGCGAGUAGUUAACGUUACAANAGAGUUAGACGGCGNGAGACGNGCCGACGGACGACGACGAGGGAGGAGGAGG